GCCAGCGUGGUAUAGUGGUUUGAGUGUUGGACUAUGACUCUGGAAACCAGGGUUCAAUUCCCACCUCAGCCA